UACGUAGGUGGCAAGCGUUGUCCGGAUUUAUUGGGUUUAAAGGGUGCGUAGGUGGUCAAUUAAGUCAGUGCUGAAAUAUCCCGGCUUAACCGGGAGGGUGGCAUUGAUACUGAUUGACUUGAGUGGAGUUGAGGUAGGCGGAAUUGACGGUGUAGCGGUGAAAUGCUUAGAUAUCGUCAAGAACACCAAUAGCGAAAGGCAGCUUACUAAGCUCUAACUGACACUGAUGCACGAAAGUGUGGGGAUCAAACAGG
rnacentral:rRNA from 1 species